UGCAAGGUGGAUUACAUGGGGUUGGGGAUGAGAGUAUGACAUUCAGGGAAAGGGAGGAGGAGAGAGAAGGGAAGAGCAAGUGAUAGACUGUGAAAAAUCCCCUAGUUUGACGACGUUUCUCCAGGAUGAGGAGCCUGGACAAAGUUCAAAGCCAGUUUCCAGCAGAGAUAAAGAAGCAAUUGGAUCACAAAUUCCUGCUAUAUCUUAAAGGGAUGCGACUAGGGCAGCAAAGGAUUUCUCAGUUCUUUGUUUCAAAGGAUAGACUGGGGUGGGGGUAGGUGGGGGCUGAUAGACCUCAAAGUGACAAGCCUGUGCUUUAACAUGGACUCAGCCAUGGUGAGGCUAAGCUCAGGGAGACACCAUAAGGAAGAGACAGAGGAGGUCUUCCCAGGUGGAAGAUGAACACCAGUCUCAUUGCUAAAACCUCCGGGAGACAGCACAAGGCAAGCACCGAUAGGCAUCCUUUGCUUUGGGCUACAUGAUGGUUGGAGUCGUGGGGUGAGUAGCUUGUCUGGAAGACAGGGGUGAACCUUGGCUGAAGCAGGGACAGUGGUUGGGAGUAAGUAUGUGGUAAAUGGAUGGGAACAGCAGUGCUAGCUUGGGUAGUGUGCAAAGAAAUGGGGUCGGAGGGCCUAGGGGACACACAUUUUAAUGAGAGGACUAUACCCAAGUCUGUAGCAUUCAGGUCCCUUCCUGCUCAUCCUGCUUUUGUUUCUCUCACAGAAAGCUAUUGUCUGCACACCUGGCCAUCAAGCUAUGCUAUGCACACCUGGUCUUCAAGCUAUGAUCUGAACAUCUGGCUGUCACGCUACGAUCUGAACACACAGCCAUCGAGCUAUGCUCUGCACACCUGCUUGAACUGAUCUGGAAAACAGGGAAUGAUCUUUUUAAAAAAGGCAUGGGCUAGAUCUAGCCCCCAUUGCCCACUGAUGUGAAGUUCCAUUUUCAUGAGGGUCCCCCAACAACUGGUAUGAAUGGGUUGUCCCUGACUAUGGAUCCCAUUGCUCUAAAUGGGCUGCUUUGUUUUGCCUCAGUGAGAGAGGAUGCUCUUAGUCCUGUAGUGACUUGAUGUGGCAGGGUGGAUUGGUACUGGGAAUGGGUGGGCUUUCCUUCUUCGAGAAGAGGAAGGGGGAAAUGGGGAGCGGAGAGCUGUGUGAAGGGGGGACUGGGAGGGUAGGGAAGGCUGAUAUUGGCAUGAUAUUUUUAAUUAAAAUUUAUGAAAAAAAAAGAAAGGCUGUUCCUUGCCCCUGGAUUGUCCCUUAAGUUCCCAGGAGAUUGGCACUGUUACAAAAUGGUGAGCAGCUGGGGUGGGAGGAGUCUAUCCAAGGAGGGAGUAGGGCAGGACCAAUCAGGGAGGAGAGGGAGGAUGGAUGGUCUACGGGAUCCUAUAAAACGUCAGACCCAUUGAAAUUCUCCCCCAUUCCCUCUGCAACAUACACAGAGUGGAUUCUCACCUCUGGAUUGCACCUAAAACCGAAAGAAGGGAUUCAAAGAAGUUGUAUGUCA
rnacentral:lncRNA from 1 species